AACGAACGCUAGCGGCAUGCCUCAAACAUGCAAGUCGAACGAGAAAGGGGGACUUCGGUCCCCCUGUACAGUGGCGCACGGGUGAGUAACACGUAGCUAACCUACCCUUUUGCUGGGGAUAACUCCGGGAAGCCGGAGCUAAUACCGAAUAAUCUAAUACGGCUCGCGGGCUGUAUUGGUAAAGCCUUCGGGCGCGAAAGGAUGGGGCUGCGGUCCAUUAGCUAGUUGGUGGGGUAAUGGCCCACCAAGGCGACGAUGGAUAGCUGGUCUGAGAGGAUGAUCAGCCACACUGGAACUGACACACGGU
rnacentral:rRNA from 1 species